UACGUAGGGAGCAAGCGUUAUCCGGAUUUAUUGGGUGUAAAGGGUGCGUAGUCGGGAAAUUAAGUUGGAAUGUGAAAUCCCUCGGCUUAACUGAGGAACUGCAGCCAAAACUGAUUUUCUUGAGUGCUGGAGAGGAAAGUGGAAUUCCUAGUGUAGCGGUGAAAUGCGUAGAUAUUAGGAGGAACACCAGUGUCGAAGGCGACUUUCUGGACAGUAACUGACGUUGAGGCACGAAAGCGUGGGGAGCAAA
rnacentral:rRNA from 1 species